GUGCCACCGAAAUUGCAAUCAGCGGACCAUUGAGCGUGCGUAGCAACGAUCGGCUCCGGGUUGCAGUAUGACGGGUUGCAGUGCACCAAACUGCGCAAAUCACACGGAAGAUGGCAAAGCUUUUUACGCGGUGCCGUGCGGACGGACGAGACCGGCCGGCUCCGAAAGGGACCGGGAUAUGCGAGGUCCGUUCGCCUUGUUUACAGAGUGGCUUUGAAUUCUGCCCCCCGAGGCUCAAAGAACCAGCGCUCAUCCCCUCCUGCCACCAGCCAUUGCUCAUCCAUUCCCUUGUACGAAAUAAAUUUGUU
rnacentral:lncRNA from 1 species